AGAGUUUGAUCAUGGCUCAGAUUGAACGCUGGCGGCAGGCCUAACACAUGCAAGUCGAGCGGAAACGAGUUAUCUGAACCUUCGGGGAACGAUAGCGGCGUCGAGCGGCGGACGGGUGAGUAAUGCCUAGGAAAUUGCCCUGAUGUGGGGGAUAACCAUUGGAAACGAUGGCUAAUACCGCAUGAUGCCUACGGGCCAAAGAGGGGGACCUUCGGGCCUCUCGCGUCAGGAUAUGCCUAGGUGGGAUUAGCUAGUUGGUGAGGUAAGGGCUCACCAAGGCGACGAUCCCUAGCUGGUCUGAGAGGAUGAUCAGCCACACUGGAACUGAGACACGGUCCAGACUCCUACGGGAGGCAGCAGUGGGGAAUAUUGCACAAUGGGCGCAAGCCUGAUGCAGCCAUGCCGCGUGUGUGAAGAAGGCCUUCGGGUUGUAAAGCACUUUCAGUCGUGAGGAAGGUAGUGUAGUUAAUAGCUGCAUUAUUUGACGUUAGCGACAGAAGAAGCACCGGCUAACUCCGUGCCAGCAGCCGCGGUAAUACGGAGGGUGCGAGCGUUAAUCGGAAUUACUGGGCGUAAAGCGCAUGCAGGUGGUUUGUUAAGUCAGAUGUGAAAGCCCGGGGCUCAACCUCGGAAUUGCAUUUGAAACUGGCAGACUAGAGUACUGUAGAGGGGGUAGAAUUUCAGGUGUAGCGGUGAAAUGCGUAGAGAUCUGAAGGAAUACCGGUGGCGAAGGCGGCCCCCUGGACAGAUACUGACACUCAGAUGCGAAAGCGUGGGGAGCAAACAGGAUUAGAUACCCUGGUAGUCCACGCCGUAAACGAUGUCUACUUGGAGGUUGUGGCCUUGAGCCGUGGCUUUCGGAGCUAACGCGUUAAGUAGACCGCCUGGGGAGUACGGUCGCAAGAUUAAAACUCAAAUGAAUUGACGGGGGCCCGCACAAGCGGUGGAGCAUGUGGUUUAAUUCGAUGCAACGCGAAGAACCUUACCUACUCUUGACAUCCAGAGAACUUUCCAGAGAUGGAUUGGUGCCUUCGGGAACUCUGAGACAGGUGCUGCAUGGCUGUCGUCAGCUCGUGUUGUGAAAUGUUGGGUUAAGUCCCGCAACGAGCGCAACCCUUAUCCUUGUUUGCCAGCGAGUAAUGUCGGGAACUCCAGGGAGACUGCCGGUGAUAAACCGGAGGAAGGUGGGGACGACGUCAAGUCAUCAUGGCCCUUACGAGUAGGGCUACACACGUGCUACAAUGGCGCAUACAGAGGGCAGCCAACUUGCGAAAGUGAGCGAAUCCCAAAAAGUGCGUCGUAGUCCGGAUUGGAGUCUGCAACUCGACUCCAUGAAGUCGGAAUCGCUAGUAAUCGUGGAUCAGAAUGCCACGGUGAAUACGUUCCCGGGCCUUGUACACACCGCCCGUCACACCAUGGGAGUGGGCUGCAAAAGAAGUAGGUAGUUUAACCUUCGGGGGGACGCUUACCACUUUGUGGUUCAUGACUGGGGUGAAGUCGUAACAAGGUAGCGCUAGGGGAACCUGGCGCUGGAUCACCU
rnacentral:rRNA from 1 species